GUUUGAUCCUGGCUCAGGACGAACGCUGGCGGCGUGCUUAACACAUGCAAGUCGAACGGAAAGGCCCUGCUUGCAGGGUACUCGAGUGGCGAACGGGUGAGUAACACGUGGGUGAUCUGCCCUGCACUUCGGGAUAAGCCUGGGAAACUGGGUCUAAUACCGGAUAGGAGCCAUUUUUAGUGUGAUGGUUGGAAAGUUUUUUCGGUGUAGGAUGAGCUCGCGGCCUAUCAGCUUGUUGGUGGGGUAAUGGCCUACCAAGGCGGCGACGGGUAGCCGGCCUGAGAGGGUGGACGGCCACAUUGGGACUGAGAUACGGCCCAGACUCCUACGGGAGGCAGCAGUGGGGAAUAUUGCACAAUGGGGGAAACCCUGAUGCAGCGACGCCGCGUGAUUUAGAAGGCCUUCGGGUUGUAAAAAUCUUUUGUAUGGGAAGAAAAUGACAGUACCAUACGAAUAAGGACCGGCUAAUUACGUGCCAGCAGCCGCGGUAAUAC
rnacentral:rRNA from 1 species